UAGUCCACGCCGUAAGCGAUGGUCACUAGUUGUUGGGGUCUUGUACCUCAGUGAUUAAGAGAAAUUGAUAAGUGACCCACCUGGGGAGUACGAACGCAAGAUUGAAACUCAAAGGAAUUGACGGGGGCCCGCACAAGCGGUGGAGCAUGUGGUUUAAUUCGAUGAUACGCGAGGAACCUUACCAGGGCUUAAAUGUAAGUUGCAUGAUUUAGAGAUAGAUCUUUCUUCGGACUACUUACAAGGUGCUGCAUGGUUGUCGUCAGCUCGUGCCGUGAGGUGUCAGGUUAAGUCCUAUAACGAGCGCAACCCCUACCGUUAGUUGCCAGCAUUAAGUUGGGGACUCUAGCAAGACUGCCGGCGCAAGCCGCGAGGAAGGUGGGGAUGACGUCAAAUCAUCAUGGCCUUUAUGCCUAGGGCUACACACGUGCUACAAUGGACGAGACAAAGGGUUGCUAACCCGCGAGGGGGUGCUAAUCUCAUAAACUCGUUCCCAGUUCGGAUCGGAGUCUGCAAC
rnacentral:rRNA from 1 species